ACACUGCGAAAGCAUUUGCAAAUUCGUCAGUAAAAGUCCAUUGUUUUGGUCUUGGUUCAGCUUGUGUGUAAAAGAAGUUCAAGCACUUUAAAGUUGUGUUAAUU